rnacentral:snoRNA from 1 species
GGCCUUUUGGUGCCUAACCACAGACUGCAAUCUUACACUGACUACAUAAAAAGAAGAGGCAAAGUAAACCUACCACAUAUACAUCUCACCCUAGGUUCUGUGCCCAGUCUGUAUUAUGAAUGGGGAGACAUGG